rnacentral:lncRNA from 1 species
CAGGUUAGGCCCUUUGCCCGGAGCAUCUGCUGUGGAGGCUGCCCAGGAACCACUUCGCUUCCUCGCGUAACAUCGACUGGCUUUCCUUCGUGCCCACUGCCCUGGGCUGCAUGCGGUUCAGCUGGGGCUGACUCCACGCCCGGUUCCAGAGGAGGGAUGGGGCCCAGCCUUCUCCGCUUAUACUCUUCCCUGGCCGUGGGGUCUGGAGCAGAGAAACUAUGCUCAGCUUCCUUGUCCUUCGAACGGACCGGCGAGGAGGCAGCGGACGAGCAGCUCUUCGGGCCCACCUGCCGUCGGACCACCGUCUGGUCCCCCAGACCCCUGCUGAGCACCCGUACAUGUCAGCACUGGGCCAGGCCCCACCCAGCACGUUGUUCACACGUGAUCUCAGUGCUCACAACCACCUCCUGAGUGAGGUACCAUCAUUAUCCUGUUCUGUAGGAGAACCCGAAUCAUAGAGACUGAGGAAUGCACUGAGUCCAGGGCUGUUGGGCUGGGAGGUGUCUCCUGACCCCAGUGUCCACGGCUUUAGCCCUUUCCUGUCCUUCCUUGGGCAAGGAGUAGGGACCUGGGCUUUUCUUUCUCAUGUUCUCUCACUUCUCUUCUCCAGCUCAAGUCCUCUGUACUCGUUACAUCAGAGAUCGAUGGAUGACUUCUAACAACCUUCGGCUCUGGUAUUUCUCGCGAUCAGAGAGUCCCCUGGAGCCAGUAUAUCCCCAGCACCUGGAGUCGGACAA